rnacentral:rRNA from 1 species
GGUAACCUGGGAUCACGCACGGAUACCCGCGGAACUGCGUCGUAUCCUUAUCGGGGGA